CUAAAACCUACACUAAGUAUUUGAUAGUGAUCGGGGUUUGAUCUAGGGAAGACAAAUGAUGUAGGCAACGAUAUCUUUAGAAUACAACGAUGUUGAACAGUUUCCAGUAGGUAAAAAUGGACUUUAUUUAUGAAUAAGAUCGAAUACAAUGAGUUGAACUAGACCGAGUAAUACAAACGAGAUCUGUAAAGAAAAAAUCUAAGAUUGGGAUGACAACAAGGUCAAUGUAAAUAUGGAUGUUUAAACAGGCCAGAAGCCCGCGGGCUUGACGGGCGGUGUUUAAACGGAUAGAACCCGUACCUGUUUAUUUGUAUGUAAAGACUUAACGGGUUCACAUAGGGUCGGCCCAUUAAAUGGGGUUUAUUAAAUGGGUUUACCCGCGAACAAAAGGGUGCACAUUUAUUUAUUUUUUCUUUUCAGAAUAUGUGAAACGACGUCAUAUUAACUUAGGUUUUUUCUUGAUCUCAAAAAUUAGAAUCUCUCUGCCGUAAUUUUUUUCUCUGUCGAUGUAGCUGAGAAACAUGACAUGAUCGAAAUUGAGAAACAACAAUCUUGUAGGUCUCUUCGUUUUCUUCACUAAGAGAAGGCUGCUUUGGUUCAAGGGUUCGGUUUUACUGUGAACUUGUGAGCGUCUGUGCUGUGAGCAGUGAGCCUGUGAGCGUCUGUGCUGUGAGCCUGUGAGCGUCCUCAAUCCUAUUACUUCAAGUCUUCAAGUGAGUUGUUUGAUUUCCUGCAAUGUGUAGUUAGUCUUCAAGUCGUCAAGUUCAUUUUCAGAUAACAAGAUGGAGAAAGGGGUUGGUUUGAGAUUAAAGGAGGAGGAUGAAGUUGGUUUCUAUCUUGUUUUUCUAUGGUUCAGUUUUUUUUAUGAAGUAAACUUUAUGUAUUUUCAGAUUCUCUAUGGUGUAGUCUUUCACUUUCUAAGUUUCAGAUUUUAUGUAUUUGAAGAUUCUCUAUGGUGUAGUCUUGGUGUUUGCUUCUUUACAUGAACUAUAUUCUCUUA